rnacentral:rRNA from 1 species
UACGAAGGGGGCUAGCGUUGUUCGGAAUUACUGGGCGUAAAGCGUGCGCAGGCGGUUGUGCAAGACAGAGGUGAAAUCCCCGGGCUUAACCUGGGAACUGCCUUUGUGACUGCACGGCUAGAGUGUGUCAGAGGGGGGUAGAAUUCCACGUGUAGCAGUGAAAUGCGUAGAUAUGUGGAGGAAUACCGAUGGCGAAGGCAGCCCCCUGGGAUAACACUGACGCUCAUGCACGAAAGCGUGGGGAGCAAACAGG